rnacentral:misc_RNA from 1 species
CCUGUCCACUGCUGUUUGCUAAACCGUUGCAUUUGUAGAUUCCAUCCCGUUACUCACUGUUUUACAGUACGCAUUUGAUAUGUCCGUCAUGUUCCCGCCAUCUGGCACUACUCCAACGUCCACAGAUGAGGAUGAUACACUGUUGCUCAGACACUGUGUGUCAUAGCCGUAGGCAAAAGGCUUGGAUCCGGUGAAGUCCAGCUCAAAGCAGUGAUCGUUCACUAAUGGAACUUGAACGGUCUUGCUUUGCACGGGUACUACACCAUCCGUGCCCGAGCUGUUCUGUUCCUGUGCUUCGAGUUUCGGAUCCACAGUGACAGGACCGCAACCCGGAUCCAUAUACGGGUCCAUGUCCGAGAAGACAUACUGACCUGUAUUCAGAUCUGGACUCUCCAUUAGCUUCGGGUUGGGAGGAUUUGGAAGCAGCCACGAAGCUGCCUCUGCUUCCUCCCUGCUUACAUCGACGUCUCCAUCCACGUCGGAGAAGUAACGGUCAUCAAGGAAGUUUACAGCGUUUGGCUUAACAGAACCGACCGACUCGUAGAACGGCGUCACAGGAACUCGCUC